GGUUUCCCUCACCGAUGUCCGUGGUACUCAAAAAUGGUUUCGUGAACAGAUUGAAUAUAUACUGGACAUCCACCAAGUGUCCUGCAUGCAUUAGGCACCGGGGAUGGUGGACAAGACAGUCAAACGUCCUGUAGUCCCAGCUCAGCAGCCGAAGCUGGCACAGCUGUCCUCACGUGGACUUCCUCUCAUGGGCCAGUUGGGCCAUGUUCCCUACCUCUGUUGACUUGGGAACCUUGGCGGCUGCUAGCAGUCUGUGUCCUCUUCAGCAUCUGGUGCUCAAGAAUUAAUGUUUAAUUGAAUAAAACAAUCCCAGGGUGACAAGACAGCAUCUGCCCUGGCCUCACCAUAGUGAGUCAGGGUCCGGGACCAGCCCCAUCUUUCAGCCCCACGUCAAUGAGCCAAAUCAUUAAAAAUGGGCCUUUGAGGUCCAAUCUGCAACUA